rnacentral:rRNA from 1 species
UACGGAGGAUCCGAGCGUUAUCCGGAUUUAUUGGGUUUAAAGGGUGCGUAGGCGGUUUGAUAAGUUAGAGGUGAAAUGUCGGGGCUCAACCCCGAAACUGCCUCUAAUACUGUUGGACUAGAAAAUAGUUGCGGUAGGCGGAAUGUAUGGUGUAGCGGUGAAAUGCUUAGAGAUCAUACAGAACACCGAUUGCGAAGGCAGCUUACCAAACUAUACCUGACGUUGAGGCACGAAAGCGUGGGUAGCAAACAGG